rnacentral:rRNA from 1 species
UACGUAGGUGGCAAGCGUUGUCCGGAAUCACUGGGCGUAAAGCGCGCGCAGGCGCGAUCUACGUCUGGGGUGAAAGCCCGGAGCUCAACUCCGGGACGUGCCUUGGAUACGGGAUGCGCUUGAGGAUUGGAGAGGCAAGGGGAAUUCCACGUGUAGCGGUGAAAUGCGUAGAUAUGUGGAGGAACACCAGUGGCGAAGGCGGCUCACUGGCCCGAUAACUGACGCUGGAGGUGACGAAAGCGUGGGGGAGCAAACAGGA